CCCUUAUAUUGAUCCAUACAUGUUUGCAAGACUGUGCAGGAUGCUUUGGAGAGAGAAUGGAGAGCAUAAGGAGACCAGAGAGAGGCAGAAGGAAAGCUGGCCUUCAGCCUCAGUGUCAGACACUGGGAAAUAAGUGGUCAGGGGAAAGGCACAUACAAUUAGAAUACCACCGCAGAGGAAUGCUGGCCCUGAUGACACUGUGGCUGCUGAUGCUCCCCCAGAGGAACUGGAGUGAGAGUUGCUGAACCUGUGUUCCUGAUCCUCCAACGUUACAUCCUGCAGUCUGAGAAUGGAAAGAAUGAUUCCCAGCUUCCUGAUUUCCCAGGCCUCUUUGCUCAUUGUAACAGCAGCACAAUUGGACAGUGCAUGACAUCAUCAAGAAGUUAGGACCAUUGCUGAAUGAAAUACCUGCAAGAGAUUUGAAAACUCUUUUUAAUUAUUGAAUGUCUUUUUUGUGAUCCAUUAAUAUUUAAAUAAUUGAAUAAACAUCAUAGAGAAAUGCCUCAUUACCCUAUGUAUGAAAAAUUUCUAUCUCCUUCCACUUUCAGAAGUCAUCUGACAGAUUACAUUUGUCUAUAUAUGGCCACUCCUCUUGUAUUUUCCAAUGAAAUUUUAUGUAAGUGAGCACAUGUGAAGUGCAUUUGUACCACUAGAGCACAAUAAGCUCUGUGUAUGUGACAUGAAAAUGCAUGUAUACACAAAUUGUAUGAAUUGUUUGUAAAUAUAUGUAUAUACCCAAUGAACAUGAUGUAACGUUGUCAAUACAAAUCAUUAGAUAUCUUCAAUGCUGCCUUUUCUAUAUCUUCUUUGUCAUGUAGAUAUUUUUGAUACUGAUUUAUUUGUGAAGUACAAGGUUUCAAAUUAAUAAUUACAGAAUAACAGGUUUGAUAUACAAAUUUAACUAAAAUAUAUCACUUGAGCUGUAUCCUCUGAAUACUUGUCCCAAGAAGCUAAUAGAUGAUGCCUGAAAUAACUGGUAAAGAGGGAAACAUGUUUGGAAAAUGACCUUGAAUAUGGACCAUUCAUUAACUCAUUUUAAUUUUUAGAGUGUGUAUACAUAUAUGUGUAAGAGCACACUCACUUAUUAUCAUAAUAUCAUAAAUGGAACCUCACUCUGCAAGGAAAGUUAAUUAUUUUCUAUCAGGAAUCAAAAAUGAACAAGUUAUUACUAAGAUAUAACUCUACUUAAUGCAUUUUUUUUGUAUCUCAUGUGGGGCUCUAACAUUCAAUGGAUGAUACAUAAUUUACAUUUGGUUGUUUUAAACAGAUCCCAGGACUGUAGGCUAUAAAUGUGUUUUUGUUCUUGUUUUUGUCUUCUGGGUUAUAAUGAAGGUUAGAUACUUGUCUUUUCUCUCUGUAGGAUUGAGAUUCUUAGAAUGAUGGUCAAAUGCUGAUUUCAUAUUCUAGUCUCCUCCAGGUCUCUCUAGCUUUUUGUCUCCUAUAUUCAGGUUGAUGAGGUUACCAGGCUUCUAAAUUUAGGUUUGCUCAAUCAUAGACAUGGUGGACAUGUGGCACCAGGGUAAUAAGUUGUCUGGACAAGAACAUGUUAUAGCAAACCUUAAUAUACUCCAAAGCCUGUAGGGACAUGGGUGACAAGGACAGUUUCUUGUUGGAGACAGGAUAUGGAGUGAUUUCUUAUUCCCAGUGUCACAAAAAAAUGGAGCAGAAAGAAAAGAGUUUGCAUUGACAAAUCUGUUCUAUCAGAAAUGAAAAGGCAGGAACCUGAUUUCUGCAGAUUCCUGGGGAGAGCGGGGACCACUGAACUCACCACUGUUAAUUUUCAAUGUCAGCCUCCUCUUACAUAGAACAGAAUUCUUGCCUGCCUCAAUACUUUCCAGUUUUAGAGAUGCAGAAGAGGAAAGAAAAUAUUGUGUGUACUGGGAAAGGUACAGAAUGACUUUUGGUUCUUCUGUUUACCAGAACGCUGAGGAAGAUUAUCAACUGUGGUUCUCUUCUAGCCAGAAAGAAGUGUGAUUCCCACUCCUGGGUAAGCAUCUGAGAAACCUAAGGAGGCACUGAUUGAGAUUAAAAACAACAACAAAAACAAACAAACAAACAACUGUAACCCAGAAUUGUUAUAAUUUUCAUUGUUUUUCUUAAGCUUAAAUACCCUUAAUAGUAAACAUCAUAUGAAAUGUUCUUUCAUACAUUUUAACAAUACAUAUACUACUUAGUGAAUAUAUGAUAAAAUCUUUUUGAAUUUACAUCCAUUUGAGAAUUUCAUACAUGAACAUUGUAUUUAUGUAAUUUCCAUCCCUCCAUCUGGUCUCUUCAUCUCUUCCUACAUCCUCCUCACCCCUCUUCAAUUUCAUGACCUCUUAAACUAAUAUCUCCUCUGUUUUUCUAUUUUAUAGUAUUUGAAUUCUACUCAGUAUAUUGUAUGAAUUACAUAUGUUUAUGUUGCAUUAAGCAUAUUCUUUACUGUAAUAAUAAAUAUUCCAUAAUUUGA